UGGGGAAUAUUGGACAAUGGGGGCAACCCUGAUCCAGCAAUGCCGCGUGUGUGAAGAAGGCCUGAGGGUUGUAAAGCACUUUCAGUGGGGAGGAGGAUUGACAGGUUAAGAGCUAGUUGAUUGGACGUUACCCACAGAAGAAGCACCGGCUAACUCCGUGCCAGCAGCCGCGGUAAUACGGAGGGUGCGAGCGUUAAUCGGAAUUACUGGGCGUAAAGGGUGCGUAGGUGGUUUGGUAAGUUAUCUGUGAAAUCCCCGGGCUCAACCUGGGCAGGUCAGAUAAGACUGCUGAACUCGAGUAUAGGAGAGGGUAGUGGAAUUUCCGGUGUAGCGGUGAAAUGCGUAGAGAUCGGAAGGAACACCAGUGGCGAAGGCGGCUACCUGGCCAAAUACUGACACUGAGGCACGAAAGCGUGGGGAGCAAACAG
rnacentral:rRNA from 1 species